CCUUCCCAUCCUGGCAGAGUCUAUAUUAGAGAGCGGCAAUGGCUCUAUAUAAACAGGGCAGCCAAAGGGAGGAGGACCACAAAGCUCAGGGACUGAAAAGCAGGGUAAGCGGCCGCAGCCAUGAUGGAUCGACCCGAGUCGCCAACGGAAUUUUGAGAAACAUGGAAUGUAGUCUGAACAAGUGAGGGAGUUUAUCCUCAUAAAGCAAAACGAAAUGAAGCUGGAUGCAGCUGAGAGCAUAUUUGAAAAAUAUCAAAGACAACGUACCAGAGAGAGGAAAAAGAUGCAACCUGCCAGGACCUGAAGGAAGAAAUUAGAGAAAGCAGAAGCCGUUAAGACUCAGAAAAUGGGAAGUUGUGGGUAUGCUUGUGAUGGGCAUAGAGAAUAUCAAUUUUGAGAUUUCUUUUAACACCACCUGCCUUAAAUGAGUUGCAUUUCAGUUCCCUGCACAGCUUCCUGAGUGAAGGCACUUAAAAAGCCGUCCUAGAAAAUCUUAGUGCUCUUGAUACAUAAAAAUUGGAUUCUAUCACCUUUUGUAAUUCUUUUAAUAUUCAGGUGACCAUUAGCCGGAAAAGUUGUACUAAACAGUACCACUACUGGUAAAUUUCAUCACUAAUUAGGACUUCUUUUUACCUCUUUAUGUAUGCAUACUACCAACUAUUUGCACUUGGAAUCACUCACCUUCCACGUCAUUUUCUUCUCUCACCACUUGAUAGUCUUAACUAAAUGAUAAAAUGUUUUGCCAUCAGUUACGAUAAAGACCACUGCAUACAAAACAUGGGUUUGAAUGUAUGAGAUUUAUUCUCCACAGACUUAUUCCAAUGGGAUUAGUCACCAUUUUGCUCUGAUUGAACCUGAUCUAUGAAGUAACAAAAUACAGUUACUGGAUUAAAAAGACAGAAAACCCCGUCCUGGACUCCUUAAGAUCUUCCUACUUCUUAGAGGCUCUGAGAUGGCCUCUGUUUGUACAUACUUUAAAUUGCAACAGUGCUGAAGCACUUAACUAAUAUUAAACCAGAGCUCUUCCCUUCUCUUUUCAUUGUGCCUGGAUUCCAUUCCAAUUUAGUUUUCCGUUCCUCAUUUAGUUGUAAUAUGUUGUAAUAUGCCUUCAAUCACUACAUAUGUGGGCCAGCCAUCUUAGUUACAGAAAGAGACAUUACCUGAUCUUGCACCAAAAUAGUGGGUCUGGAUAAUUUGGAGACUACAGCUGUUUAAUUCACAAAACUGGAAAUCUGUGAAUAGAAAGCUCCUCCCAUGUAAGACUAGAUUUAGCAUUAUAUUUAAAUUGUUUUUAUCUGAACUUUUUCUUGGGGAAGGGUAGCUUGAAUAACUUUUCUAAUUUUAGCUGUUCCUUGUACCAUGUAUGAAUCAUGAAUCAUUUUACUGCAUAUUCAGUUUACAAACUCAUACUUGGUAACAGCCAUAUACUUAAACAGAUAGAUACUUAUAGUGCUCUCUUUCUUUGUAAUGCAUCUUUUAGUUAUUUAUUUUUUUACUUCAAAGUGAUUUGUACUGGACGAUAGCAAGUUACUUCUUCCUUUUAAUGCUAAUAUUCUGCCUAAACACUGAAUAAUUGCUAAACAAAAGAAGCAAUGGAAAAAUUUAGUGCUUAAAUUUUAAUAUACCAUAAACAAAAUGACACCAAACCUUAUAUGUCCAAACAGUAAAAUGUUCUGCUCUGCAAAUGACUAUUUUAGCAACAAUCCCAAGAGAGAAAAAAAAAAAAAUCUAAAAAGACUGCUCAUGGAAAUUAGCUUGAACUAAAAUCUCAUUAUGUAACUUACCUUCAGUUUCCAUGUUCUUAAAUAAUAGAUAGAUAGAUAGAUAGAUAGAUCAAUAAAGGUAAUUAUCUGGUGUCUUUAGGAAGCAUGCAGCCCUAGUAGUAUUGGGCACUUUGGGAGAACACUGAAGUGAAGAGGGAAGAUCUUGUAAUUCAAGUCUACCAAUCCUAGUGAAAGUCCCUAUUGUAUAGUGCAUAGUUAUAGCAUUCAUUCAAUAUAUUAAAAGCACUGAUGUUUUUCAGAACUAACAAAAAGAAAUAUAUUCAGAAUUCAUAUAUUUUUAGGUCUUUAUAAAAGCAAAACAAAAAACACCUGUUGAUUUCCAUAUGCACUGAUGUAUAAUGCAGUGUAUAAAAAGAAAUUACUAGCCAC